UCUAGAGACAUCAACAUUUCAUAAUGAGCAGAGAAAGAAGAAACACAGAAAAGGGGAAGAGAGGGCCAGGGGAAUAGGCAAUGACCAAGGAGAGUGACAGACUUUCAAGAAAGGGUGUGGCCAACAGUGCGAACCAGAAAUCCAGGAGCCCCACUGCAAACGUGGCUGGUGGUUCAACCAUUGGCUGGUACUCACUGUUACCCAGGCAACGGCAUCCCGUUCUUUGAAUAGAUCUUGCUUUGUGUGUGGAGGCAAUAGGGAUCCACCAAGACAUUUUAAGCAGAGGGCUGUUAUGAUUAAUUUUACAUCUUAGACCGAUCACCCUGGCAACAGAGAGAGGCUGUUGCAUUCAUUCAAGUGAUGACUGGAACUGGGGCAACCAUCUUGGACCUUGAAAGGACCAUGACCUUCAGAAUAGAGGUCAAACAUAGCAGAGAAACAAGACAGAAGGAGUCUCUGGGUCCUGGAGAGCUGCUUGGAGCAGAGCAGCCCUAUUAACCUGGAGCACCUACCUGGAGCACCUACCUUUCAUG